CCUGCCGGACGGGCAGUCGCCUUCCGCGCUUCUGCGCCGGAGGGAGGAAAGUCCGGUCUCCACAGGGCAGCAUGCCGGCUAACGGCCGGGGGGAUCCGCUCAAAGCGAAUUUCACGGAAAGUGCCACAGAAAAAAUACCGCCGGGCCGAUUUCUCGGCUCGGUAAGGGUGAAAAGGUGCGGUAAGAGCGCACCGCGGCCGCAGUAAUGCGCGCCGGCAGGGUAAACCCCAUGCGGAGCAAGACCAAAUAGGGGAGCAGGAGCGGCCCGCUCCGUUACGACUUCCGGGUAGGUUGCUGGAGCCGGAGAGUAAUCUCCGGCCUAGAGGAAUGACUGCCGCCCGCUUUCAGUUUUUAGUGGGCACAGAAACCGGCUUAUAGUCCGGCAGGCUCA
rnacentral:RNase_P_RNA from 1 species